rnacentral:rRNA from 1 species
CCUAGUGUGGCAGCAGUGGGGAAUAUUGGACAAUGGGCGAAAGCCUGAUCCAGCCAUGCCGCGUGUGUGAAGAAGGCCUUCGGGUUGUAAAGCACUUUCAGUGGGGAAGAAAGCCUUGGGGCUAAUACCCUCGAGGAAGGACAUCACCCACAGAAGAAGCACCGGCUAACUCCGUGCCAGCAGCCGCGGUAAUACGGAGGGUGCGAGCGUUAAUCGGAAUUACUGGGCGUAAAGCGCGCGUAGGCGGUCUGAUAAGCCGGUUGUGAAAGCCCCGGGCUCAACCUGGGAACGGCAUCCGGAACUGUCAGGCUAGAGUGCAGGAGAGGAAGGUAGAAUUCCCGGUGUAGCGGUGAAAUGCGUAGAGAUCGGGAGGAAUACCAGUGGCGAAGGCGGCCUUCUGGACUGACACUGACGCUGAGGUGCGAAAGCGUGGGUAGCAAACAGGAUUAGCUACCCGGGUAGUC